CUUACAGAGUUUAUUGGCAUUCUGUCCACCUCCCAUCUGUAGAAAUCUGUCUCUCUCACGAGCUCACAUGGAGGUGGGCAUACUGCCAACUGAGCUCUGUUGG
rnacentral:pre_miRNA from 1 species